CGCGGCGGGCCCUCGGGAUCGUGCUGCUGAUCCUCGGUGAAUGCCACCAGCCCACCCGCCGCCACCCUUGGCACCACCCCUCCACCGCCGCCGUUUCUCGCCCCCAGAAGCGGCCCCAGGUCCCUCUUCACCAGCGUUGCUGCAUUGCUCCAGCAGUGUCAGGGCAUCUAUGGUAUUUGCUCCAAUUACCAUGGAAACCCAAUUUCCAAUCCAGAAAAUCCAAGACUGUAAAGUCCAGGAAUUAAGAGUGCCGGAGUCCCGCCCCGGCUGAGUCCAGGUUCCUGAGGGAUGGAUGGCGUCGGCGCAAUGAGGUGAAAAUAAAGAGGACGUGAGACUUGGCAGAUGAGGAAACUGAGGCUGGAUGAAGAGCUGUGAUUGGUACAAGGACAACUGUCCAGCAAGUGGCAGAGCCCAAAUCAAAGUCAAGUUCAUCUGGCUUCAAAGACUACGUGCCUAACCAUUACAAGAUGCUGCCUCCUGUUUGCUUUGUCUUAUUAGAACUUAGUUGAGUGUU